rnacentral:lncRNA from 1 species
UGCUCUGUUUUUUAUUGGGUGCGCCUGCACUGAGUUUAUAAGCCUCGUGCCUGUGCUGAGGCUGAGUCGUGCCUGUGCUGAGGCUAGGCAGCCUUGGUCUGGUUAGUCUCACAGCCUCGGUCAGAUGGCCCAUGUGGCCCAUGUCUUGGUCUGUGGACUUAGUACUGGCUUGGCCAGGCAUGCUGUCUCGGUCAGGAGACUUGGCACUAACUUGGUCAUGUGCCCGAGCCUUGGUGCUCCUGCCUCGGUCAUGUGCCUGAGCCUGUGCCUAAGCCUUGGUGCUCCUGUCUCGGUCAUGUGCCUGAGCCUUGGUGCUCCUGUCUCGGUCA